rnacentral:rRNA from 1 species
AGAGUUUGAUCCUGGCUCAGGAUGAACGCUAGCGAUAGGCUUAACACAUGCAAGUCGAGGGGCAGCAUGGUCUUAGCUUGCUAAGACUGAUGGCGACCGGCGCACGGGUGCGUAACGCGUAUGCAACUUGCCUCACAGAGGGGGAUAACCCGUCGAAAGACGGACUAAUACCGCGUACACUUAUCGGAGGGCAUCCUUUGGUAAGGAAAUGAAAUUCGCUGUGAGAUAGGCAUGCGUCCCAUUAGCUAGUUGGUGAGGUAACGGCUCACCAAGGCGACGAUGGGUAGGGGAACUGAGAGGUUGAACCCCCACACUGGUACUGAGACACGGACCAGACUCCUACGGGAGGCAGCAGUGAGGAAUAUUGGUCAAUGGGCGAGAGCCUGAACCAGCCAAGUCGCGUGAAGGAUGACUGUCUUAUGGAUUGUAAACUUCUUUUGUAGGGGAAUAAAGAGGGGCACGAGUGCCUCAGUGAAUGUACCCUACGAAUAAGCAUCGGCUAACUCCGUGCCAGCAGCCGCGGUAAUACGGAGGAUGCGAGCGUUAUCCGGAUUUAUUGGGUUUAAAGGGUGCGUAGGCGGCCUGUUAAGUCAGCGGUGAAAUCUAGGAGCUUAACUCCUAAAUUGCCAUUGAUACUGGCGGGCUUGAGUGUAGAUGAGGUAGGCGGAAUGCGUGGUGUAGCGGUGGAAUGCAUAGAUAUCACGCAGAACUCCGAUUGCGAAGGCAGCUUACUAAGGUACAACUGACGCUGAAGCACGAAAGCGUGGGUAUCAAACAGGAUUAGAUACCCUGGUAGUCCACGCAGUAAACGAUGAUAACUGGGCGUAUGCGAUAUACAGUAUGCUCCUAAGCGAAAGCGUUAAGUUAUCCACCUGGGGAGUACGCCGGCAACGGUGAAACUCAAAGGAAUUGACGGGGGCCC